rnacentral:rRNA from 1 species
UGGGGAAUAUUGCACAAUGGAGGGAACUCUGAUGCAGCGACGCCGCGUGAGUGAUGAAGGAAUUCGUUUCGUAAAACUCUGUUCUAUGGGAAGAAAAGGACUGUACCAUAGGAGAAAGCUCCGGCUAAAUACGUGCCAGCAGCCGCGGUAAUACGUAUGGAGCGAGCGUUGUCCGGAAUUAUUGGGCGUAAAGGGUGCGCAGGCGGCUUUACAAGUUGGAUGUGAAAUAUUGUGGCUCAACCACAAACGUGCAUCCAAAACUGCAAAGCUUGAGUUAAGGAGAGGUAAGUGUGAUUCCUGGUGUAGCGGUGGAAUGCGUAGAUAUCAGGGGGAAUACCGGUGGCGAGGACGACUUACUGGGCUUAAACUGACGCUCAGGCACGAAAGCGUGGGGAGCAAACAGG